UUGCGAUGAUGUGAACUCCUUCCUGAAUCACACCUUGAAGUGCAACAUCAAUGAGCUUUUUAACCCUGAGCAAC